UUUUUUUUUUUUUUUUUCCCAGCUCACAUGGAGUAAUUGGAAAAAUUUCAAUAUCCUUCCUAUACUGUUUUUACCCUUUCCCAAGAAAUCCCCUUUUGGCCACUCUCAGUGAGAAGAUGCUGGCUGGAUCUCAGCUAGCACAUUUAUACCUGUAUUGUGCUGAGAAGUAAAACUGCUCUGGUUCUUCAAGGAGCAGAAUGAAGCAGAUGCCGCCCAUUCCUUCCCAGGUAAUUCUCACAUUCUGGAGAUCAUCAUCAUUUCCAGGCAGCACCAAUAAAAUAGUGACAGAGAGCUCUGUGAGCUCCUGACUGCCUCAUGUGCUCCCUGUCCGUUGCUAAUUCUUUACCUGCUCUAGUUUUAAAAGCCUCGGAAGAAUGAAAUUCCACUCUGAGAUAUCCAGAUACAAUUCAAGAACAAACCCUUCAAAGUGGUAGGAGGAAGGUAAGAGAUACAGGGGGAACCUGAUCCCCAGGCUCCCCACACAGGAGGAAGGCAUUUGAUUGCAGCUUUAUUGUUCCUCAUAUCAAAACUGACAGACUGCCAGGAACAAGAGGCUGUCCCUGGGGAAAGUGGCCCAAGACUGGGCUAACAGUGGCUCCUCUGGGUCCAAGAGCAAGUGGCAGGGUGUCCUGUGUUGGUUAUAUGAUGCUUGUAUCCCCAGUUGUCUGUUCUGUUUAUGCUGGAUAAAUAGAACAGUUUUCUCCCAAAAUGUCUUUCAAAACUUCUCCCAAAAUUUCUCCCAAAAUUGCCUUAAACCAGGACACAGGGAGAGGCUGGAGCUGGUGGCAACUGCGAUGCUGCUGUGCAUUACUGAGGCUGCCACCAGCAAAGUGCCCCUUCCUAUCUGCUCCCAGCCUUGGCUACCAGCCCUUCAUUUACACAUGUAAUAAAUUCACUUGUUAAUUAGAAGAAGUAAAUAUGAUGAGCUUUUGAUAUAGUUCAAAGGAGCAAUAGCCAGCUUCUUGAUUCCCAGGUUGGCAGCCGUCCUUCCUCUGUGCCCCAGAAUCAAAGUGCAGCCCUUGCUCCAGUAACUGUCAGGCUUUUUACAUCUUUUGAUCAAAAGCCUGGCUGCAGAAAGAGGAAAAACCAACACCCAACUGUUUGGAUCUUUUCCCCUACAAUUAUUAUCACAUCCAUUACUCAGCAGAAGCCUGGGAUGCCCUUUCAUUCUUACACAAAUACUUUCUUUUGGGAUUCAUUUAAAGUUUCCUUGUGCAUGAAGUGGUCACUUGUCAGCCAUCCACCUGAAAGGGUGAGGCAGAGAAAGCACAGUCAGCUAAAAAGGAGCCCUGGCUUCAAGCAUUUAUAAUGAAUAUUGACAAAAAGAGGGGGUGGGGAGGAGUGGGAAUCAAAAGCUUGAAAAUUGCUGAUUAGGCAAAAGCCGACUACCUCCUGCCUAUGGAGAAAAUGGCAUCAUUAGAGGGAUGCAACAGGGCUGGCAUUAUGCAACGCCUGGUCAGGAGUAGAGAACAGCACAGCAGCAACUCCCACUCGGAGCAGAAAAGCAGGAGACUGCCCUUCCUUCUGACUUGUGAAAUUUCAGUCCUGGAAAAUCCCAGGCUGUGGUGCUCCCAAACUGCAUCACCUCUGUGGUCUGGGCAGCCAGAGGUGCCCCACAGACCAACACCAGGAGCCCUCAGCAGGCAGGAGUGGGGGAUUCUGCCUCCCUGCCACAGACAACAGCCAGCCCUGCCUUAGGGAAGCCAUGGAGUCUGGUGUUUCUCCUCCUUCUCAUGUUUUACCCCUAAUCUCAGGGUACAAGUGAGCCCACAGACCAGGUGACUCGAGCACAUACUGGGAUGGAGAAGCACCUCAGGCUCCUGGGGACCUGCAAAGGGCCAGGGGCUGGGGAGACACAGCGGGCUGAGAUCCUGCACAGAGCCUUCUCUUUGCAUGUGCUUAAUGGUGAGUAGGGCUGGGGGUGCCAGCGAUGCCAGCCUUUAUUGGCCAGCCUUUUUUGGCUGUUAGGUGCCUCCCAGCUGAUGAAUGGUGCUCUCAGGCUGCCUGUGUGCACAGCAUGAAGGAAAAUCAGCAGGGCUGGGGUCUCCCAGUGUUGCUGUGCCAAGAGAGAUGCAGAUCACUUGAUAGUUACUUUUUUUUUUAACAAUCUCCAAGCAUUUACUGCGAGUCAGAACUGGAAGGGGAAGCUGCAGCACUGCUUCCCAUCUCCUCUCCUUUGCGCUGAGCAGACCCAGGCCCCUGGGAUAUGGAUUUCAAGAGCAAUAAAUUCACUCUAAAAAUUUAAAGAGGAUGACGCAGAAAACUUCAAAAAAACCAAACAAACAGCUCCACACAAUAAAAGCCAUUUCUCUCCUGACGUCUCUCUCUAGUUACAGCGUGACACAUCAAGGUCAGAUACCCUGUCCCACAGGAGCUUGGCUUUGUGCAGGGCGAGAAUCAUCCCCUAAUGGUGUGUGGUGGCUGAUGUUUGGUAAGGAUAAACUACUUAUAUAAAACCCAGGAUUCUCGUUAUGGGACACCAUUUCCAGCAAGUGUUCCCUCUCACAGGGCAGGAAGCCCUGAGCUGAAGUGCCCUCAGGAGGUAGGAAGAGUCAAGGAGAGGUUUAACCUGCGAUCGCUGCUCCCGUGUCCGACCGCGGCCCUCGCGCCAAGGAGAGCUCCCAUCUGCAGCUCAAUAAAUCACCCAUUCAUGCCAGGAGGUUUCUCUAUGGCAGAAGCUGAACUCAACAGCAAGAAUAAUAAUCCAUAUGUUUGUAAUUGUGAUUAGCUCCUCUGGAAGACAAAACCCAGAAAGCUGGAGCAUCACAAAUGCAGCAGCGCUCAGGGCCCCCGAUGCUCUUGGUCAGGAAAGGGGAUGGAGCAGGGAGCCCCUCCCUGCCUGGAGCAUUUUCACCCCACCAGUCUCCUCCAUGGCUUGUUUGGUUUCCCUUGUUUUAGAAUUUUUUUUUUCUUUAAUGCAGUGAGUUUUCUUGUGCGUAGUCUCCUAAAUGAAUGCACAGGCUGUUUCUGGCAUGCUUUAAACCUUCAUGCAUUUUUAAUGAUUUACAAGGAAAAGAAUUUUUUCUCUCUUUCUCUCUUUCCUUCUAUUCCCCCCCUUUUCCUCCUCCUUGAUUCCCUUUUUCUUUCCUUCCAAAAAAAAAAAAAAAAAGUAAUGACUUAAUACAUAUCAAGUGGAAUUGCUGGUUUGUGGCGAUGGUUUUAUAAUUCCAGGUUCAAGUUUUUUCUAUUUAAUUAUGCACUAUAAUUCUCAUGAACUAUAAUGCAAUAACAAAAGCAUGCACCAGGGUUGGCACAAGUCUGUUCUUUAUUAGCAUGAAUAUGGGUACAGUUCUUUAUGUGUGAAAUAAAAUAUUUGGACCUGAUGCUGAGUCUGUUUCUUUAGAGUUACACUGAGCUCUUCUUCCUUUCAAACACUGAAGCUGAGGCUCUCUGUUCCCUGUCUUGUCUGUUUCUCCCCUGAUAAAUUCAGUUGUACUUCAUUUCAUAAAGCCUUACUUGUCUGUAACUGCCUUUGUAAUGCCUUAAUUGAAUAGAGGGUUCAUACAUUAACCUGAAGUCCUCUAUAGUAUCUUAGUUUAUGAAGGUUAAAAGUGAUUAACUGAUGAAAGGCUGCUUGCUGUAAAUAUUGACAUUCCCCCAACCUGCCAGGAUUUUGAUUAGCUCCUGAAGUUGCCUUAACAUUUUUGUUUAUCAGGUUAUCAGCAUUUCCAAAAGCUUAUAAACAUCAGGACUUUUCUCAUGCCAAUUAAUGUUUGAGACCCUGAAGACAGUGCAAAACAAUAAAUGCCACAGGAAAUCAACAUCUGGACACAGACACCCUUCUGUUCCAUCAGCCAGGAGUGCAAGUAAGCACCAGGCCAAGUUCUCCAACCAACACAUUGUCCCAUGUCUCUGGAGAGCAGGAGGUGCCUGGUGACCAUCGGAGGAUUUAAUUUGCCAAUAGAUGCUACAAAUACCAAAGCCACCUCUAUCUGCUGCUGUGACAGAAUAUGAUCACAGAAAAAACCAGCAGCCCUCUGUCACAUGCUGGGGAGCUUUGGAAGGGUCCCUCUGAAACUCGUUGGGAUUGAUUUUCCUGCCCGUGCUGCGUUAUUAUUGCCAGACCCCGGACAAGCGCUCCCAGGGAACACAUCUGCCCGGUGGAGUUCAAUCUUUGGAGACUUAAAGCGCUCACUCAAAUGCACUGAAUAAGAGGAAUGCUUCAGCUCCAAUCAGUUCCCAUCUUCUUUGGAAAUGCUGGCCUUGAGGCUCUACCUAAUAAUGGCAACCUGUGAUCCCAGUUUGUGCUGCACAGAUGACUAAAGAACAUAAAGAGCUCAAUCUUUCUGCAAUUUGGAAGCAAAUAAAUAAGCAUGAAAGUAGAUCUGUUGGUGAAAGCUCUUGAGAGGUAAAAAGGCAGAGAGAAAAUGAGGUAAGGUGCAUUUUUCAAGAGUUUACCAGCUGAAUGUGGUACCAGGAAAAUAAAAUCCAAAUCAUUAGUUUCAUCACACCACAAAACUUGUGGCUGCUGCAGCUUCCCUGCACUGCAGAAAUCUGAUGCACACACAUUGUUUCAAUUUAACAUGGUGAUAGAAUGGAAGUGAACGUGAGGAUCACCGUGUGACCCUAUUACAUGUGGAGUGUCUCUAUUAGAGCUGCAGAGACAGCAUGCCAGAGGAGCUGAAAUGUGUUGAGAGAAACAAACAGAUAUACCUGUUUAAAAGCAGCAGUCAGAAACUCUGCAGUGUGAUCCAAGCAUGUUCUGCUGGAGAGGGCAAAAUAGUCUAU